rnacentral:rRNA from 1 species
AGCGAACGCUGGCGGCAUGCCUAACACAUGCAAGUCGCACGGGUCGGCUUCGGCCGGUCAGUGGCGUACGGGUGAGGAACGCGUAGGGAUCUGUCCUCUGGUGGGGGAUAACCGCGGGAAACUGCGGCUAAGACCGCAUGGGUCGCCGGUGUGAGAGCCGGUGUCAAAGGCGCGCAUCGCGAGGUGUGUGUCGCCGGGGGGUGAGCCUGCGUCCGAUUAGGUGGGUGGCGGGGUAGUGGCCCACCAAGGCGUCGAGCGGUAGCUGGUCUGAGAGGGUGCUCAGCCGCACUGGGACUGGGACACGGCCCAGACGGCUAGGGGCGGCAGGAGUGGGGGAUAUUGGACAGUGGGCGCAAGGCUGAUACAGCAAGGGCGGGUGGGUGGAGAAGGUGUUCGGAUUGUAAAGCCCUUUCGGCGGGGACGAUGGUGACGGUACGCGCAGAAGAAGCCCCGGCUAAUUUCGU